GAUGAACUGUGGUAAGAAGUGAAAAGCUAAUCGAGCCUGGGAAUAGCUGGUUCUCUCCGAAAUAGCUUUUGGGCUAGCCUCAAGUGUUUUUUAUUGGAGGUAGAGCACUGGUUGGUCUGUAUUGGCGCAAGCCAGGCAGACCAGUCAAACUCCGAAUUCCAUUAAAAUAAUUUGGGAGUCAGACUGUGGGGGCAAAGCUCCAUAGUCAAAAGAGCAAGAACUCGGACCAUUAUCUAAGGUCCCUAAAUUUUGGCUAAGUGUAGAAGGAGGUGAUGCGUCGAAGACAAAUAGGAGGUUGGCUUAGAGGUAGCCAUCCUUUAAAGAGUGUGUAACAACUCACUAUUAUAUCUCCGCAAGGGGAUUGACGCGUUGCGCCGAAGAUAUAACGGGACUAAGCCAAAUACCGAAGAUAUGGGUGCGGUUUUGUUUCGACAAAACCGCGCGGUAGGAGAGCGUUUUUAGCGCAGCGAAGAUUGACCCGCGAGGGCGAUUGGAGCGCUAAGAAGUGCAAAUGUUGGCAUGAGUAACCUGCAAGACCGGUGAAAAACCGGUCCGCCGAAAGCCUGAGGUUUCCUUGGCAAUGAAAAUCAGCCAAGGGUUAGGCGGUCCUAAGGCAAUGGAGAAAUCCGCAGCUGAUGGACAGACGGUUAAUAUUCCGUCCCUACCUUAAGCGCUUUUACGGAGUGACGAAGUUCAGUAUGCUGAGCGUCUUAUUGGAUUGACGUUCUUGGCGUAAGGAUUUUCGGGAGGCAAAUCCCCCGAAAUGCGUUUAAUCGCGAAUCCAAGCGUUGAGAAAAUUUUCCCGUUCGCGGGGAGAAAUUUGGCAAAGCGAGCUUCCAAGAAAAACUUCGUAAAUUAGCUUAAGGUAUCCGUACCGAAAACCGACACAGGUAGGCAGGGCGAGUAGCCCACGGCGAACGAGUGAUUCGUGGUUAAGGAACUCGGCAAAAAAGCGGCUGUAAGUUAGCGAUAUAGCCUGCCCCGCUUUGCGGGGCCGCAGCUAAAGAUUCCCUGGCGACUGUUUAUCAAAAACACAGCUCCCUGCUAACUCGCAAGAGGAUGUAUAGGGGGUGAUGCCUGACCGAUGCGAGAAGGUUAACGGCGGAGGUGGUAUUUCUAGCAAUAGAGGUACUGCUGAUGCCCGAAGCCCUCGUCAAUGUCAGCGAUAACUAUAAUCGUUCUAAGGUAGCGUAAUUCCUUGUCUGGUAAGUUCAGACGUGCACGAAAGGCCUAACGACU
rnacentral:rRNA from 1 species